UACGUAGGGUGCGAGCGUUAAUCGGAAUUACUGGGCGUAAAGCGUGCGCAGGCGGUUUUGUAAGCCAGAUGUGAAAUCCCCGGGCUCAACCUGGGAAUGGCAUUUGGGACUGCAAGGCUGGAGUACGGCAGAGGAGACUGGAAUUCCUGGUGUAGCAGUGAAAUGCGUAGAUAUUGGGAGGAACACCAGUGGCGAAGGCGGCUACCUGGACCGGUUCUGACGCUGAGGCGCGGAAAGCGUGGGUAGCAAAGAGG
rnacentral:rRNA from 1 species